CUCGUAGCUUCACAAAUCAGCUCUGGGAUGGACGCAGAAGCUCCUGUUGCCAUGGUGAUGUGGGGAGGCUGGUACACCACACGCCAAGUGUAGGCAGGCGAUGCAGAGAAUUGGCUCAGGAUCCUGUUGGCAGUAGCCAGGCUCGGGGAGAAGGGCUGGAUCCUGGAGAAAGCCGAGUGACUGGAGUGACUGGACCUCCCAUGAGCUCUAGAAGAACCUGCACCCCCACCGCGCCCCCGCCCUCCCUAAACUCCUAAUUUGGGAGAAGAUAGGACCUUUGGGAAGGGAAGCGGUGUGGGCUCCAAAGCAGAAGCUACUGCCUUGACUCCAUGGAAAAUAAAAUCUGGUCUUGCUGGGAAAGACUGCCCAGUGGGGGGCACCCCCUGCCCUAGCCCCCCCUGCUUUACCUGGCUCCCCUCUUUCCUGCUCUGACCUCAUUCUUUGAGCCCGCGCUGACUGCCAGCAGGGGGCAGAGUCUCCCCAAUUCAAAGCUUCUGCAGGGCUCCUGCCUCUGCUCGGCCACCCCUGCUCUCACCAGGAUUAUUUUCAGCUGACAGGCUGCAAAGGCGCAGUAGGUGGAUCUCAGGACUGGAGAUGGGUUCCGGCAGGGGAUGUGAGCCACGGGGACUUUGGUCUAAACCGUGGGCCUCACUGGGGGAGGAGUGUUUAAGGCCACAGAGUUAGGGGGCUGAACUGGCAAAGGUUUCUGCUGAGGUUGUACUCGAUCCGUUGAAAAUAUUAAAGACACCCUAACCCUGAGGUGGAGCCAAAGUCGCCCAUUCAAUAACUGUUCGUUGAGUACCAACGACUAUAUUCAUGGAUGGAUGAAUUCAAUCAAAGGAGACACAGGGAAGGAGGCAGAGACACAGGCAGAGGGAGAAGCAGACUCCCCGCGGGGAGCCCAAUGCGGGACUCCAUCCCAGGACCUGGGGGAUCACCACCUGAGCCAAAGGCACAUGCUCAACGGCUGAGCCUCCCAGGUGCCCCAACAGUGAUUUAUUUUAUUUUACAAACUCUCAUAUUGUGCUUUUUACAUGCCAGGCACUGUCCGAAACACUUAAUAAAUAUUAACUCAUAACAGGCCUAGGAGAUAGACAUGAGCAUCAUCCUCAUUUCACACAUGGAGAAACUGAGGCGCAGAGCAGUUAAGUAACUUGGCAAGAUCAAGUAAGUGACAGAGAGCCACCGUCUGAACCAGCCAGGCUGGCUCCAGAGUCUGUGCUCUUCACCAUUAAACUGUUGCUACCUCUUGAGAAGAAAGGCAAUUGCAGGGGUUAAGCAUUGAGCCUGGGCCUUCCACCUAAGACAGGUGAGAAUGCCACCGUUGCAGCUCCAGCUCCAAGGACACCUAGAAAUUACAAGGAGGGCCCACUGUGGGGGAGGGCCGAG
rnacentral:lncRNA from 1 species